UUUUUCUUUCUCUUCUUCCUUCCGAUCCUAGGUCUCCGUGACUCUGCCCUCUCCCCGACCCCCUCCGCCGCCGAGCGUGGAGAGCGCCGCCUCUGCCCCGGCGGAAGCAUCCCCUCGCCCCCCCCCCUCGCCGGAGGAAGCAGCUCAUCGCCCCCCUCGCCCGCGGAAGCUCGCCGGUUCCGCACUGACGGCCGCUCGAUGUUCCCCUUCCGGCAGCAGCGCGCCGUCCAAUCCGACGGGCGACUCCAACCGCGUCAAUGAGGAGCGCGUUGCCAGACUCCCCGACGCGACGCCGGCUGCGGCGUGGGAUCUCCCAUGCGCGCCAUCGCCGCCCACUCUGUCUCCGACGACCCGGCACACAUCGAGGUCAUCAACAACAUUGAGCACGGCGACGCACUGCCGGGCCUGCGCCGCCACGAUGAGAUCGCUUCCAUCGCCGAGGUGGACUUCGACGUAGCCAAGGAGCUCUCGAUUUUUCAGUAGGUGGCGGCCGCUCAAGAUGGGGUGCGUCAAGGUAAUGUCGCAACACUCUCGGUACCUAUCAAUGCUACAGAGUAUCUAGGCUACCAUAUAAAUUACUGAAGGAUUUGGCAGUAGAUGAGGCACUUUGCGUAGACACACUAUGCUUCUGCUGCUUGUAGCUUGCCAUUGCCACGACGCCGCUUCAGCCUGCUGAGAGGCAUAGUAUUGCUGCUAACGCUAAGAGACAUGAGAGAGAGAGAGACUCAGAGGAUUGAGGGGGGUUGAGAGAUGGAGUGCUGCUAUCUGAUGUCCUGCUUGAUUUCUGGACAGCGGUCUGGUGUUUAGACUUUAGAGGACAUUGAUUUUUCUGCAAUAUAUUUUACCAUUGCUAGGUGUAAGGUAUAUUACCUAAAAGCUGUAAGCCUCUUGAAAGUCCUAUUCUACUCGGGCAGAGUCGACAUCGCAAGCUGAGCGGGUGCUCACCUCACAGGACUUUCAACAGGCUUACAACUUCCCUAUCCUGGAAUCGCCUAUCUCUCUGAGCAGUCGUGGCGUGGCCACCGCUUCCGCCGCUCCUCCCUCCAUUAUCCCCCACCUCCUCUUCUUGCUGAAGGCAUCCCUCCACAAUCUGCAACUACGGUGGAGUUUCUACAGCGGCUCCGCCGGUGGAGGUGCGACACGAGAUCGAGCGUGGAAAGGAUCGCCUGCCAAUCAAUGUAUUGUUGAAUACAUGAGGAUCAAGUCACAGAUUCAUUGUGUGUUUUCAGAUUUUGCAUGGUUUCAUUCGUUGGCUACCUAUAUUUUUGUGUUUGGUUUGAAGGACAUUCUUCUGUUAUCACCAAUUGUAGCUCUAUAGUUCUAUAAAAAUGCUUUGGUUUGUUUUUUAAUUUAGGAAUAGGUGGACGUUGAAAAUCAACUUCGAGAAGUUGAGCUCAGAUAUUUGUUACAGAUGGGAUGCCAAACUCACUAGCUGAAAGCAAGGCUCACCAGGUUGGUCUGUAGUGAGCACGUAGAGGAGAUUACAACAUGAUCUUGGCCGAACGCCAAGGCAAUGUCAGUGCUGCAGCGGAUAGACGGAGCAGAUGACCUGGCCUGCACUGUCAGAAUGGGCCUUGAUGCUAGGGGCAGGAUGCAAGGUCAAGCGGAACACCAGGCGAAGGUGAAACCCAGCCGACCGGAGCGGCCAGGUGGUCCUUUAUCAGAUUCAGUUCUUGAUGAUUACUUGGCUGGGGAGAGACUAGGUGGUCCUUUAUCUCCGUUCAGUAGUCAAUUUUGGUUUUGAUUCAUUUGUCUGCCUUGCAUAUUUUUGGAAGGGAUGCCACCUGAUGUUGCAACAUGAAUUUGGUGUUUUGAUGAUCAUUAUUCUGUGAAGGGCAAGAAACAAGCAGUUUUUGUUUACCUGGAGCCGAUAAUGUAGGUCCUAGAUCACAUUGU